GGGCCCGUGGUCUAGUGGUUAAGACGCCACCCUUACAAGGUGGAGAUCCCGAGUUCGAGUCUCGGCGGGCCCACCA
rnacentral:tRNA from 1 species